UAUUCUGCUCAUUCUCCCAUCUGUGUGCGUCAGGACAUGCCAGGGCUGUGUGUCUACAUUUCGUUUUUGGACAAUAAAACAUCUUGGACCCAACCUCUCAGCACUUGAUACUCUUCAACCCUCCCUCCAUUUUGAAAUUUUCUCCCUCAAUUACCAAAAAGUGGCGUUCUUCAGGUUUUCCUUCUUCCUCGUCUGGACCCUGGGCAGCAGCAGUGAGAGAGGAUGAAGAAGACCUGGAGCAUCUUCUCUAUCCUUUGGCCAGUGGUCAUGGUUGGCUGGAGAUAUGUGGGCAUCCAGGGCAGGCCAAUCACUUGGCAUCUCUUCAGCAGGAUAUCUUUUCAGUAUUUGUUCAAAGUGGAUUUAGAAGCGUGGUCAAGGGCUUUGUUGGGGUGGGUAGAGAACUGCUGGGGCCAGCCUCGGCCCCUCUUGCCUUCCCAAUUGAUUUGUGUUCCCCACUUGACAAAGCAAAAGUUCUACUGUUUAGCCAACCUCAGCAUCUUGUCACUAGAGUAGUCUUGACCGUGAAGGGAGUUCACUUUUCCCCUAAGAGGUUUGCCAAAUAAUUUCUCCUACACACAUCUCCUUACAUUUCCACCUGCCAGCUAGCCCAACCCUUACUCAAAUUCUGGCUACAAGAGCCUCUGUCAAAUAUAUGGUGAUGGAAGGAGAACUGACUCUGGGUGGUGAACACACAAUGGGAUUUACAGAUGAUGUAACACCGAAUUGUACACUUGAAAUCUGUGU